rnacentral:rRNA from 1 species
UACGUAGGGGGCUAGCGUUGUCCGGAAUCAUUGGGCGUAAAGCGCGCGUAGGCGGUCAGGUAAGUCCGGUGUGAAAGUCAAAGGCUCAACCUUUGAAUGCCGCUGGAUACUGCCUGACUUGAGUCCGGAAGGGGCGAGUGGAAUUCCUGGUGUAGCGGUGAAAUGCGUAGAGAUCAGCAGGAACACCCGUGGCGAAGGCGGCUUCCUGGGCCGCGCCUGACGCUGAGACGCGAAAGCGUGGGGAGCGAACGGG